GACGAACGCUGGCGGCGUGCUUAACACAUGCAAGUCGAACGGUGAAGCGCCUUCCUUUUUGGUGGGUGUGGAUGAGUGGCGAACGGGUGAGUAACACGUGAGUAACCUGCCCCCUUCGUCUGGAUAACCGCAUGAAAGUGUGGCUAAGACGGGAGAUUCUGGGUCUGUCGCAGGAUUGGUCUGGGAAAGAUAUUGUUUCGGGGGGGGAUGGGUUCGCGGCCUAUCAGCUGGUUGGGGGGGUGAUGGGCUCCCAAGGCGGUGACGGGUAGCCGGGCUGAGAGGGUGGGCGGUCCCGCUGGGGCUGCGGCCCGGACCGGACUCCUACGGGAGGCAGCAGUGGGGAAUAUUGCACAAUGGGCGAAAGCCUGAUGCAGCGCCGCCGCGUGAGGGAUGGAGGCCUUCGGGUUGUGAACCUCUUUCGCGAGUGAAGCCGGCCUGCCUCGUGUGUGGGUGGGUUGACGGUAGCUGGAUAAGAAGCGCCGGCUAACUACGUG
rnacentral:rRNA from 1 species